rnacentral:rRNA from 1 species
AACGAACGCUGGCGGCAUGCCUAACACAUGCAAGUCGAACGAAGCCUUCGGGCUUAGUGGCGCACGGGUGCGUAACGCGUGGGAAUCUGCCCUUUGGUUCGGAAUAACAGUUGGAAACGACUGCUAAUACCGGAUGAUGACGAAAGUCCAAAGAUUUAUCGCCAGAGGAUGAGCCCGCGUAGGAUUAGCUAGUUGGUGUGGUAAAGGCGCGCCAAGGCGACGAUCCUUAGCUGGUCUGAGAGGAUGAUCAGCCACACUGGGACUGAGACACGGCCCAGACUCCUACGGGAGGCAGCAGUGGGGAAUAUUGGACAAUGGGCGAAAGCCUGAUCCAGCAAUGCCGCGUGAGUGAUGAAGGCCCUAGGGUUGUAAAGCUCUUUUACCCAGGAUGAUAAUGACAGUACCGGGAGAAUAAGCCCCGGCUAACUCCGUGCCAGCAGCCGCAGUAA